GCCAGCAUGGCAUAGUGGUUUGAGUGUUGGACUAGGACUCUGGAGAUCAGGGUUCAAAUUCUGACUUGGCC